rnacentral:rRNA from 1 species
UACAGAGGGUGCGAGCGUUAAUCGGAAUUACUGGGCGUAAAGCGUGCGUAGACGGUUAUGUAAGUCGGGUGUGAAAGCCCCGGGCUCAACCUGGGAAUUGCAUUCGAGACUGCAUAGCUAGGGUGCGGAAGAGGGAAGCGGAAUUUCCGGUGUAGCGGUGAAAUGCGUAGAUAUCGGAAGGAACACCAGUGGCGAGAGCGGCUUCCUGGUCCAGCACCGACGUUCAGGCACGAAAGCGUGGGGAGCAAACAGG